rnacentral:lncRNA from 1 species
UACUUCGAGCUAAUACGUAGGAGUCUACUACAACCUGAUCCUCGUCAUGUGGAUAAGAGCAGGUGCAAAGUACACGAUCUCUUGAGAUCUCUCAGUCAAUAUUUGUCACGAGAUGAAAGUUACUAUGGAGACCCACAGUCCUUGGAUGCUACUGCAAUCUCAAAGCUUCGCCGCUUGUCAAUUGCUGGGAGCGGAGAGAUUGUUACAAUCCCUGGUCCGGAAACUGAGCAGCUACGCUUGAGCACUUUACUACUAAUUAAGAGUCCACCUAGAAUUGAGCGCAAUCUUUUCUCUAGAGUUCCAUACCUCCAAGUUUUAAUUCUUAAUGGAAAAGGGAUAGAAUGCGUUCCUGAUAGUGUGGGAAAUCUAAUACACCUCCGAUUGCUAGAUCUUAAUCGCACUAACAUAUCCAAUCUGCCAGACUCUAUUGGAUUCCUAAAAAAUUUGCAGACUUUAAACCUACGACAUUGCAAAUUUUUGAACACACUUCCAAGGAGCAUCACUCGCUUAUGCAGUCUUAGACGGCUUGGCCUUUCACGUACCCCUUUGAGAUGUGUCCCUGAAGGAAUAGGGAGACUGCAACUGCUCAAUGACCUCGAUGGAUUCGUUAUUAACGCAGAUGUUAGUUGCAAUACCGAACGAAACAGUUGGGACUUGGAAGAAUUGAAAUCACUUGGCCAACUAAGGUGGCUCAAAUUAUCUAUCUUGGGGGGAAAACGGAACGCAAAUUCUGUGCACUCCGCGGAUGACCUGAUAGUUCAACCGCCGACAGUAACUCAUCCAAGGAAUACGGCUUCUGUACUUGAAGGAAAAGCCUUCCUAAAAGAACUAAUUAUAUUAUGUAGACCACAGAAAAAGAGGGAAAAAGUGCUGCCAUACACAGAGGAGGAGAUCAGUAAGAUUGAAGAUAUCUUUGAGAAAUUGCACCCUCCAACUUGUUUAGAACGAUUAUGGAUCCACAACUUUUAUGGUCGGCAUAUUCCGAGUUGGAUGCUGUCGUCAUCUUUGGGUACUUAUCUUCCUUAUCUAACAUCUGUGAAUUUCAAAGGUUUGCCACUAUGCCUACAACUUCCACCUCUAGGCCAGUUGCCACAUCUGUGGUAUCUCGGAAUCGAAAAUGCUUUUGCGAUUGUAACUAUUGGUCCAGAAUUACUCGGUAUUGGGGUAGGUGACGGGGUGCACGCAGCAACAGCCUUUCCUAAGCUUGAAUUUCUUAAUAUGGUAAACAUGCCUAAUUGGGAAGAAUGGUCCUUAGUUGGCAGUGAAACAGGAAACUCAUCAUCUCGCUCGCUGCGAGUUAUGCCUCGUCUGGAGGUAUUGUGUGUAAUAGAUUGCCCAAAACUUCGAGCACUUCCAAAAGGUUUGCAGCAACUCAGAGCACUCCAGAAUUUGAAAGUUGAACGAGCUCAUAGCCUAAGCGUAAUUGAGGACUUCCUGUUCAUAACUGAACUUAUAAUCAUAAAGAAUGGCUGCAUGGAAAGGAUUUCAAAUCUUCCUGCACUAAAGAAGCUCACCAUUUGCGGCACUCCGGCUCUAAAGUGCGUCCAUAAUUUGGCUGCACUACAACACCUAGAGUUGCAAGAUUAUUCUAUGGAAUCCCUCCCAGAAUGGUUGUUGAGACUGGUCCAGCAACGGGCGCAUCUUCACGACAAAAACCUCCAACUUGUGAUUCGCUGCAGUGUCGCCGUAAUUCAGAGAUGCCUCAAGGGAGGGCAUGACUGGCCCAUCAUCGAGUGCUUUUCUCAUGUCCGCGCCUACACCAAAGAUAGAUCAGCAUAUCUGGAAUAUACCAAGCAAACUGGGUGCUAUCGAACCAAUCAAUGAAAGUAACAUCGGCAAAAACUUUCCUACUCUUCUCAUUUUGUUUCUUUUCUUUAUCGAUUAGAUGUUUUGUACUUCAAACUGUUAUGUUGGUAUUGUCUCAAUUCCAAGGAGCUUUGGUUGUUCUUCUCAAUAAAAAUUCUGCUUCAAUAAUGGUGCUUCAUUUCCAUUAUUCUAAAAUUCCCUUCAGUCUGCCUUUUAAGUGAAUUUUAUUAUCUUAAGAUAAAAUUAUCUAGAACUUAUUUGAACUAUGGAUCAUUUUGAGUCAGCUAUCCAAUCUUUUAAAAUUUUGAUUUUACUAUCAAAUCUUUCAAUAUAUUUAUUUUGACUUAGUCAACAACAUUUUAAAUUCAAAAUUUAAGUUAAUUGGUUACUUCAAUAAAUUUAUAGUUGCAAAAAUUACAUGAAGUAUAUAUUGACUAAACCCGUAAAGAUAAACGAUGCAUUCCAAUUUUGAAGUUAAAACACCGUUGACUUACUCAAAUCAAAUAAAUUGAUAAAUUAAAUACUAAAAUCAAAAUUUUUAAAGAAUAGAUAGUCAACUCAAAAUGAUUUAUAGUUUGUAAUAAAUUUUGCACGUUUCACCUUAUCUUAACUCAAUUGUAGAAAUAUCAUAGUGUGGAAUGUAUAAAUAUUCUUUUGAUUUACAAAAGCCAUUUAUUGUGUGAGUGCAUGCAUUCUAUUUGCUCAUGCUGAAAAUAAGUACAUUUGAUCAGGCAAUCAACUGAUCAAAAGUCAGAUCCUUCAAUUGAUCCUUUCAGUUCUAUUAGAAGGAUCGGUUUAUUUUUUUGAAGAGAAAGGUAGCAUAUUACCGGCUUCCUUUAUUUUUUUUAGAAAAAAUUAGUUUGAAAUGUAAAGCAAUUAAAAUUUUGAAUUUGGGAUCUCAGAUAUCAACUACCAUGCCCUUGAGUCGUUUGUCACUUGUGCUAGGCACAGCUGGUUAGUAAGAUGGUUUAUGAUCUUUUUGUUGUGAGAGUUUGUCGAUCACUUUCGGGCCGUCGACCAAUUCACAGUGAAAGUUUUUAUUUUGAGAAAGAGGUAGCACGCUAUCCGCUUUAUUAAAAAAAAAAAUUAUCACAGUCAAAGUUACCUGGUUUUUUUCCUGAAACAAAGCCCUCUUUGGUUAGCUACUCCUGUAUCAAUAAUUUGAACAUUUUAGUCUUAAAAAAAAAAACAACAACUAAUCUGAACAUUUUGCUGAUAUAAACCUCUCAAUUAACUAAGCAACCAGGCUUCAUUGCUUAGCUGCAGUUUGGUUUCUAGGAAAAUCAUGAAAAGAAAUUGUGGAAAAGAUGUUUUUCAUGAAAAACUUUUUUUCAAACUUUUUUUUGGCCCAUUUGGUUCUAACUUUUUCAUGAUUUUUCUAACUUUUUUUCUUCUUUUUUCUUUUUUCUACAAAGGCUCUGAUUGCCUCACCUCUGUAGCCUAGUUCAUCAAUCCAAUUAAUGAAACGGAUAGCGUGCUACCUUUUUCCUCAAAAAAAACUUUUUUUUGGCCCAUUUGGUUCUAAGAAAAAUUUGUUUUUUAAGAAAUUUUUUUCUUGAUUUUACCAAAAAAUUAUUGUUUUUGUUUGCUUUUUUUUUUUGAAAAAAACGAAAACAAUAGUUUUCCAUGAAAUAUGGAAAUUCUUUUUUCCAAAUAAAGCUUUUUUUUAAAAUCAAAGAGGUGGAAAACUGAAAAAAAAAAUUCAGAAUAUAUUCUAUAAUAUCAUAUUUUGCAUACCACAAUGUCAUUCUAUAUAUAAAAAAAAGAAAAGCCAUAUUUAUGUAUGCUUUCGCCUUACUUCCAUUAAUAAGUAGACCUUAAUACCAAACAGAUCCUAACUCUACAACGUGACCCAAUUGAAAAUAUGACUAAAAGUCAACAUGCUUUUAAAGCCUAUUACACCCUAGUUCAUAUGUAGAAUCGAGCCCAGUAUAGACCUUAAACAAAGCCCAAAUACUGACCCUUGCAAUUUUAUGUUUCUUCUUUCUCUUUUCUCAAAGCCUAAAUAAAUUUAAGGUAUCUAAAUUUUCAUGUGUACACAUACACCUAAGCAAAAUACGACAAGAAAGUAGAAUAGCAAAACAAUCGAUAUCACAAUGAGUCCAUUAUGAUAUAUUUUCUACCGUCCCUAAUGAAAAAUUAAAAAGUAUAUUUUUAUAUAUUUUUGUUCCAAUUCUGUAGUGUUUUUAUUAGCAUUAUAAGCCUUCAUACUAAACGGGCGCUUUAUCUGUUGGUCCAUUUAAUUUGAUCUUGAGUUUUAGUGGCUGAAUUUGGAUUUUAGGCCUUUGUUUGGUAUUUCUUAGUUGCUUCUCCUCAUAUUUUUGAAGACUCUCGCUAUUCUUUUGUGAUCAUCAGCUACAAUAAAGAGUGGCUUGUUGUCCUCUUGUUUAUUUAUUAUUCAGUUGUGUUGUAUUCAGUUAAAUAAAAUUUGCCUAUAUAUUAUGGGUGUUCUCCAUAAAAAUAUGUGAUCUAAAAGUUAGAGAAGUGAAAAACUCAUUCCGCUAGUGAAAAUCCAUUCAACCCAAAAGUUUAAGCCUGGUGGGUGAGACAUAUUAAUAAACAUUGAAUUUAUUAGUCUUUUGUUAAUUAUUCGAUAUGAAACUAUAAACAAGUGAAAUUCUAACACUAAGGACCCUUCAAAUUAGGAUUGGAGUGGGCAAACUGAGUAGUUGAGCACAAAACAAGCAAAUCUCUCCUUUUCUUUUCAUAAUGUUUUUCUAAUUGAUACAAUGGUAGGUAUGUACAAAUAUCCACUUCUCUCUAUAUUAUGAAAGUUUUUACAGCUCUAAACUAAUUUUCAACAAUAGGACAUUGGAAACGUCUAUCCAUACUAUUGAACAUUAUCUUAAAUAGUUGUAGUUUAAUUGAACCCGCAAAAUAGAACAAUUUUUUGUCAAAUGUAUUCUAACUUUACUUCUUCUAUAUACAAAACAAUAAAUGUCAUAUGCCAGCCGUCAAAAUUUAUGUUUGGAAUAGUUUGAAUAUAAAGUAGAAAAAUACUAGAACAUUAGGGCAUUCACUUUCUAAAGUAACAGUAUUGAUUAUAAUAGAUGAUGAGAAGGAAAGCAAAGAGAAUUAAUCUGCUGAGGUAAAAAUGUGCGGAGACCCCUCGCCUAUCGGCCAUUUUGAAAUAACCCUCUCAAUUUUAAUCUUUUUCGUAUUGGUGAGCUUUUUCAGUUAGCUAAGUUAGAAACUCUGCAAUAUUUGACAAUUCUAUUAGCUAUCAGUAGUUAAUUGUUUUAGUUUAAAAUGAAUCAAAACUAUUACUUUUGAUAAAAAACACUUGUGAACUCGAUAAAAUUUACUCAACCAUGAAAGAUCAAAAUUUAUAGUUGAAGGGGUCUUCAUGCAUUUUUACCAUCUACAAAUUGAUGGAUACUUGUGGCCACUAAUUAAUACUUACUACGAUGGGCAAUGACCACUUAAGAUAUAGUUAAAUUAAAUCAAUUGGAUAAGAUAUUGUUAAUCAAAGCAAUUAGAUCUUUCAAAGUUAGUGCUCCAAGUUUAUGCUCAACACAAAAAAGAAAGUAAAAAUGAAAAUAAAAAUAAAGUUAGUGCUCAAAGGAGUGCAUCUUUUAGCAACACAUUUCAUACUAACUGCACACAUUUUGCCGCACGCUUUUUUUGAUGACUCACCUGAAUCCGGCUCGUCACUGUAAGCCUUUCGGUUCGGCAUGAUCCUUUCCGAGUUAGGGCCUUCUGCUUAAAAGUAAAAAACCCUUAUGUAGUAUGCUACUCGCUUCGUUUAUUUUAUUUAGAAAUAAAUUUAGCUAAAAAUUUGAAUCAACUAGAAUUCGAACUUGGGAUCUCGGGUGCCAACCACCAAGUUUUUUGCCACUUGCGCUAGGGACGGUCGGUCCUAUAUUCGCUUCUACAACUCAUUAAGAUUAAAAUUUUUUUUUAAUAAAAUUAGAAAAUAAUUUGACCUGGGGCGCCGAGCUAUCUCUUCCUGGCCCAUCUAGCUAUGUUGUGCUUUGCUUGGUCUUGUUUAGCUUUGCUGAUUCUUCUUUACCCAGCUUUGGGUCCUUUCUCAUUUGCCUUAUUUGACUAUGUGUUUCCCUUCCUCAAAUAGGGUAUACUUCUGUUUAAUCAAAAAAAAAGAAAGAAAAGAAAAUAAUUUGACUAAAUUUAAUUGGCUAAUGAAAAUAGAAUAUGCUUUGAAAAAAAUAGGGUUUAAGAGAGAUAUAUCUAACACAAGCAAUGCUAGUAUACCUAGAAAGGAAGUGUCCUUUGUAUAAAGGGCAAUAUUUGAUACUUAUUUUAUUAAUUUUUUUGAGUGAAUUAAGAACUAAGUUUGCUAUCAAAAGGGGUUGUAUUUUCUAUAACUCCUCAUCCGAAAAUUGUAGAAUUUUUUUGAGUGAACAACUCAGUUUGCUAUUUUUUUUAAAAAAAAAAGUUAUUGUAGGAAUAUAAUACAAAGUUGACAAUCGAACUAGCAUUAAUGUAGAAAGUUUUAAAAUAUUCUUUAAACCUCAGGACGGCGUGUAACGUGCAAAGAGGUACUAAUAAUUAAUUUGGCUGCACAGCUAUUGUUCUCAACCGACAAAGCCGUUCGUUGGAACGUGCAAAGAUGUCUCCGUCAAUUGCUUAUAAAAAUAACAUGGCAUAAUAAAGUCAACUUAAAGGCAUAGACUAUCUUCUUCUGAAUCAAGAGCAGCAGAUAGAUCUCUGGCCAUAGCUGAACUCGAAACAGUUUGCAAAGCAAGAAGAAUUUGAUCGAGCACGAUCACCCAAAUGGCGACGCUGGACGCUCUGUUCGGAAACUGCUCAGAGAAGCUCGCUGCUUUAAUCCAGGAUGAGGUGGCGAUGAUUCUCGGAGUGAAGGAAGAGCUCGCGACGCUGCAGAGGAGGAUGAAGCGGAUCGGCGGCGCGCUGAAGAAAGUAGGGCGGGAGAGGACCGAAGAUGCCGCUUGGNGCCCCACGCUGCUGAAGGCGCCGUUGCCACAGCGUCCACCGCCCAAGUUGCCCGACGCUGCCCGAGCCGCAUCUGCCAUCGCCGCCCGAGCUGCUAAGCCCGAGCCGAACGCCAAUCGAACCGACGCCGCGUGCACCAUCAACACCAUCUUGCCUGUUGCCGUUGCCGCUGAAGCCGAGGUCGCAACGUCUCAAUUGAUUUGAUUGCUUCGGGAAUGGGGAGCAAGAAAAAAACAUUAAAAGGAAAAAAAAUAGAGUGUUGUUUCUUUGCUUACUCUGAAGUGUACCCCAUAAAUUUUUUAAUGAUAUUUUGAGUUAAAUUAAAAAAAUGAUGAGACUUGCAUAUUGUUAAAAGACGCAAAGAGAGAGCGCCCGGUCAUCCACAUCUUCUUCAAUUGCAAAGCAAAACAAAAACAAAGAAAAAAGAGAGGAAAAAGAGCAAAAAUUGUAUAUAUAUAUAUAUAUAUAUAUAUAGAAAUAAUUUUUUUUUUUGUCCGCCGACUUUUCAUGUUACCAAAAACAAUUUAUUAAAAAAAUAAACUUUUUCACCAUUUCAAAAAAAAAAUUUGUCUUUUUGCAUCUUUUUCUCUCUCCCAUCUAAAAAUCUUUUUGCUUUUCAAUCUUCGUAAGAAAUAAUAUAUUAAAAAAAAUUUUAUCUUUUCAAGAGAUAAUCAAAGCUUCAAAAGCUCAGUUUCUAUCUUCAUUCCUUGAUUUUGAUCUCAUAUAAUUUUGAAGUUAGUUUUCAUGAACAAAAGAGUAAUAUUUUGAGUUUUGAAUUUUGGGUUAGCAACUAUUUUAAUAUUAAGAAGUUAAUAAUUUUUCCGAAUGUAUUUAGUAUGAAUUUAAAAUUUAAAAUUUAAAAUUUAAAAUAAUUAUAUAUUAAUUUAUUAAAGUUUAUAUCAAAAUAUUAGUGUCAAAAUUGUCCGCAGCGAAGCCCGGAUUCAACACUAGUAUAAUACAAAGUUGACAAUACAAAGUUGACAAUCGAACUAGCAUUAAUGUAGAUAGUUUUAAAAUAUUCUUUAAACCUCAGGACGGCGUGUAACGUGCAAAGAGGUACUAAUACUUAAUUUGGCUACACAGCUAUUGUUCUCAACUGACAAAGCCGUUCGUUGGAACGUGCAAAGAUGUCUCUGUCAAUUGCUUAUAAAAAUAACAUGGUAUAAUUAAGUCAACUGAUCAAAGGCCUAUCUUCUUCUGAAUCAAGAGCAGCAGCAUAGAUCUCUGGCCAUAGCUGAACUCGAAACAUUUUGCAAAGCAAGAAGAAUUUGAUCGAGCACCAACACGCAAAUGGCGACGCUGGACGCUCUUCUCGGAAACUGCUCAGAGAAGCUCGCUGCUUUAAUCCAAGAUGAGGUGGCGAUGAUUCUCGGAGUGAAGGAAGAGCUCGCGAACCUGCAGAGGAGGAUGAAGCGGAUCGACGACGCACUGAAGAAGGCAGGGCGGGAGAGGACCGAAGAUACCGCUUGGCUGAAUGAGCUGCAAAGUAUCUUGCAUGAAGCAAACAAUGUCUUUGACGACCUCAGGUAUGAGCUGCCGUCCGCAUCUUCAUCAGUUCUGUCGAUUCUCUGCUGCCUUCCUAUGUUCUCUUUCUUCAACUUCAUUCGUGCUCGUCACAACUUAGCCAAUAGAAUCAGAGCCCUCAACAAUAGAAUCGAUGAAGUUGCAAAGGACCAGUGGAUCUUUAGUCUUGAGUCGGCAAAGACGGUGGGUCAAGUGGCGAGCAUGUCGUCCACGCGCGAGACUUGUGAGAUCAUGGAAUCCGACGUCGUCGGGAGAGAGAUCGAUGAUGCUACCGACGAAUUGGUCGAGAUGAUAGUCACGAACAACCGACGGACUUUUCAAGUGAUUGCUGUAGCAGGCAUGGGAGGGAUCGGCAAGACCACGCUCGCUCAGAAGGUGUACAACAACCCGAGAAUUGGAGACCACUUCCAGGUAAGAAUUUGGAUUUGCGUCACCCAAAAAUAUUCAGAUGUUCGAUUAACGCAGGACAUCAUUCGAAAAGCCGGAGGAAGUUGCGGCACUGCCGAACGGCUCUGCGAAUUGCUCCCUAUUCUCUGCCGGACUCUUGGAGGGCGGAGCAUCUUUCUCGUGCUGGAUGAUGUAUGGCGAUCGGACGUAUGGACCGAUUUACUCCGAAACCCGCUGCAAAAUGGAGCAGCUAGUGGAUGUGUUCUGGUGACCACAAGAGACCAGAACGUUGCGAUGAGAAUGGGGGCGAAACACAUUCACUGGGUGGAGAAAAUGACUGUUGAUUCAGGCUGGGAGUUGCUUUGUAAGAGAACAUAUCUCGAAGAAGAAGGAGAAGAUGUGCAAUGUUUGAGAAGUGUGGGGGUUCAAAUUGUUAACAAAUGCGGCAGCCUUCCGCUUGCAAUUAAAGUGAUUGCCGGUGUCUUAACCACCAAGGAGAAAAGCAGAAAAGAGUGGGAGAAAGUUCUCAGAAGCAAUGCUUGGUCUAUGAGUGAGCUUCCUGAGGAAUUCAGGGGUGCUCUCUACUUGAGUUACGACGAUUUGCCGCCUUAUCUGAAGCAAUGCUUUCUUUCUUUUUGCCUUUACCCUGAGGAUUAUGGACACCGCAUUUGCGAUCUUCGCAAGAUGUGGGUGGCAGAGGGGUUUGUCAAGCAAGAAGAAGGUUUAAUAAUGGAAGAGUUAGCCGAUCAAUACUACUCCGAGCUAAUACGUAGGAGUCUACUACAACCUGAUCCUCGUUAUGUGGAUCAGGGCAUGUGCACAGUACACGAUCUCUUGCGAUCUCUCGCUCAAUAUUUGUCACGAGGUGAAAGUUACUAUGGAGAUCCACAGUCCUUGGAUGCUACUGCAAUCUCAAAGCUUGCGCGCUUGUCAAUUGCUGAGAACGGAGAGAUUGUUACAAUCCCUGGUCCAAACACUGAGCAGCUACGCUUGAGGACAUUACUACUAUUUAAGAGUCCACCUAGAAUUGAGCACAAUCUUUUCUCUAGAGUUCCAUACCUCCAAGUGCUGCUUCUUAAUGGAGAAGGGAUAGAAUGCAUUCCUGAUAGUGUGGGAAGUCUAAUAAACCUUCGAUUGUUAGAUCUUGAUCGGACUAGCAUAUCCAGGCUGCCGGACUCUAUCGGCUUCCUAACGAAUUUGCAGAUUUUAAACUUACGAGAUUGCAAAUUUCUAAACACACUUCCAAGGGGCAUCACUUGCUUAUGCAGUCUUAGACAGCUUGGCCUUUUUGGGACCCCUUUAAGAAGUGUCCCCGAAGGAAUAGGGAGACUACAACUGCUCAAUGACCUCAGUGGAUUUGUUAUUAAUGCAGACGGUAGUUGCAAUACCGAACAAAAUAGUUGGGACUUGGAAGAAAUGAGAUCACUAGGCCAACUAAGGUUGCUCCAAUUAUCUAUUUUGGGGGGGGGACAGAAUGCAAGUUCCGUGCAGUCCACUGAUGACAUAAUAGAUCAACCGCUGACGGUAACUCAUCUAAGGAAUAGGGCUUUUGUACUUGAAGAUAAAGCCUUCCUAAAAUAUCUAGCUAUAUCCUGCACACCGCAGACGGAGAGGGCAGAAGCACUGCCAUACACAGAGGAGGAAAUCAGUAAUAUUGAAGACACCUUUGAGAAAUUGCACCCUCCAACUUGUUUAGAAACAUUAUUUCUCGCCAACUUUUACAGUCAUCAUAUGCCGAGUUGGUUGCUGUCGUCAUCUUUGGGUACUUAUCUUCCUCAUCUAACAUACGUGAAAUUCAUAGGUUUGCCACUAUGCCCACAAAUUCCACCUCUAGGCCAAUUGCCGCAUUUGAGGUUUCUCCGAAUCGAAGAUGCUUUGGCAAUUGUAACUAUUGGUCCAGAAUUACUCGGUAAUGGGGUUGGUGACGGGGUGCACGCAACAACAGCCUUUCCUAAGCUUGAAUUUCUUAUCAUGAAAGGCAUGCCUAAUUGGGAAGAAUGGUCCUUAGUUGGCAGUGAAACAGGAAACUCAUCAUCUUGCUCACUUCGAGUUAUGCCUCGUUUAGAGCAGUUGUAUGUGAUAGAUUGCCCAAAACUUAGAGCACUUCCAAAAGGUUUGCAGCAACUCAGAGCACUCCGGAUUUUGCGCGCUACAAGGGCUCAUAGCCUAAGUGUAAUUGAGGACUUCCUAUUCAUUACUGAGCUUAAAAUCUACAUAAAUAAUGGCAUGGAAAGGGUCUCAAAUCUUCCUGCACUAAGGAAGCUCACCAUUUAUGACACUCCGGCUCUAAAGUGCGUCGAUAAUUUGGUUGCACUACAAUACCUAGAGUUGGAAGAUUAUUCUAUGAAGUCCCUCCCAGAAUGGUUGUUGAGACUGGUCCAGCAACGCGCGCAUCUUCGCGACGAAAACCUCCAACUUGUGAUGCGCUGCAAGGCUGCCGUAAUUCAGAGAUGCCUUAGGGGAGGGCCAGACUGGCCUAUCAUCGAGUGCUUUUCUCGUGUCAGCGCCUACACCAAAGAUAGAUCAGCAUAUCUGGAAUAUACCAAGCAAAGUGGGUGCUAUCGAACUAAUCAAUGAAGGUAACAUCGGUGAAAACUUUCCUACUUCUCUUCUCAUUUUCCUUUUUUUUUCCUUCUCGAUUAGUCGUCUUGUACUUCAAACUAUUAUGUUUGGCAUCAUCUCAAUUCUCAAACUUAACUGCAUUCAUUAUCUAUGCUAGUUCAUGAUAUUUCCCUAGUUUUCUCUCUAUUCCUAGGAGCUUGCAUAAAUGCCUGGCUAGCUAAGCGCGCUUUGCUUGUUUUUUAAAAUAAAAUUCUGCUUCAAUAAUGGUGCUUCAUUUCCAUUAUUCUAAAAUUUCCUUCAGUCUCCCUUUCAAGUGAGUUUCAUUGUCUUAAGAUAAAGUUAUACAGAAUUUAUCUGAACUAUGAAUCGCUUUGAGUCAGCUAUCUAAUCUUUCUAAAUUUUGAUUUUACUAUUCAAUUUUUUAAUUUAUUUGAUUUUAGUGGGUCAGUACCACUUUGACUUCAAAAUUUAAACUAACUGAUUAAUUUAAUAAAUUUAUAGUUGUGAAAAUCACAUAAAAUAUGUUAACUAAAUCUGUAAAGAUAAACGACACAUUCAAAUUUUGAAGAUAAAUGCCGUUGACUAAACUCAAAUCAAAUAAAUUGAAAUAUUAAAUACUAAAAUCAAGAUUUUGAAAGGUUGGAUAGUUAACUCAAGAUGGUUUAUAGUUCGAAUAAAGUUUGCAUGUUUCACCUUAUCUUAACUCAAUUGUAGAAAUAUAUAUCAUAGUGUGGAAUGUAUAUGUAUUCUUUUGAAUUUACAAAAGCCAUUUAUUCUGUGUUUGCAUUUAUUCUAUUUGCAUGCUGAAAAAUAAGUACAUUUGAUCAGGCAAUCAACUGAUCAAAAGUCAGAUCUUUCAACUGGUCCUUCCAGUUCUAUUAGUAAAAAGUUUUUUUUUCUUUUUUUCUUUUUUUUUUUUUGAGAGAAAGAUAAGGUGCUAUUUAUUUUUUUUAGAAAAUACUUAGCUGGAAAUAUAAAGCAACUAAGCUUUGAACUUAAAAUCUUGGAUACCAACCAUUAUACCCUUUGUCACUUAUAUUAGAGAUGGUUGGUUAGUAAGAUCAGUUUACGAUCUUUUUGUUGCGAGAGUUUGUCGAUCAUUUUCGGGCCGUCGCCUAAUUCACAGUCAAAGUAAACUGGUUUUUUUUUCCUGAAACAAAGCCCUCUUUGGUUAGCUACUCCUGUGUCAAUAAUUUGAACAUUUUAGUCUCAAAGAAAAAAAAAGAAAACAACCCCAACUAAUGUGAACAUUUUGCUUAUAUGAACCUCUCUAUUAAUUACUAAGAACCCAGGCUUCAUUACUUAGCUGCUGUUUGAAAAGCAUGAAAAAAAAUUGUGGAAAAGAUGUGUUUCAUGAAAAACUUCUUUUCUAAUUUUUUUUGGCCAAUUUGGUUCUAAGAAAAAACUAGGUUUUUCAGAAAUUUUUUUUAUUGAUUUUACCAAAAAAUUAUUGUUUUCAUUUGCAAUUUAAAAAUAAAAAAAACGAAAACAAUAGUUUUCCAUGAAAUAUGAAAAAUGUUCUUCAAAAAAAGCUCUUUUUUUUUUAACCAAAGAGGUGGAAAACUAGAAAAAAAAAAAAUUUCAAAAUAUAUCUUGUAAUAUCACGUUCUGCAUACCAUAAUGUCAUCCUAUAAAAAAAAAAAAAAAAAACCAUUAUGAAUACUAAACGGACCCUAACUCUAUAACAUGCUUGUAAAGCUUAGUACACCCUAGUUCAAAUGUAGGAUCGAGCCCAGGAUAGGGCUUAAACAAAGCCCAGAUAUUGAUCCAUGCAACUUUAUGUUUCUUCUUUCUCUUUUCUCAGAGCCUAAAUAAAUUUUUAAGGUUUCUAAAUUUUCCUGUAUACACAUACACCGAAGCAAAAUAUAAUAAGAAAGUAGAAUAGCAAAACAUUCUAUAUCGCAAUGAGUCGAUUAGACCAUAUUUUCUACAAUCCUCAAAGAAAAACUAAAAGGUAUAUUUUUAUAUAUUUGUGUCCUAAUUCUGUAUUGUCUAUUAGAAUUAAAUAAGCCUUCAUACUAAACGGGCGCUUUAUCCGUUGGUCCGUUUAGUGUGAUCUUGGGUUUUAGUGGCUGAAUUUGGAUUUUAGGCCUUUGUUUGGUAAUUCUUAAUUAGUUGCUUCUCCUAUAUAAUAUUUUUGAAGAUUCUCGCCACCCUUUUGUGAUCAUCAGCCACAAUAAAGAGUGGCUUGUUGUCCUCUUGCUUAUUUGUUAUUCAGUUGCGUUGUAUCCAGUUAAAUAAAUUUGCCUAUAUAUUAUGAGUGUUCUCCAUAAAAAUACGUGAUCUGAAAGUUAGAGAAGUGGCAAAGGGCUAGUUGGCAAAGGGCUAGGUGAUCUGACCAUUCCUAGAGCAAGUGGCAAAGGGUUAGGUGGUUGGUACUUAAGACCCAAGUUCGAAUCCUAAUUGAUUCACAUUUUCAGCCAAGUUUAUUUCUAAAUGAAAUAAACAAAGCGGGUAGCGACUACCUACCUCUCAAAAAAAAAAAAGAAGUUAGAGAAGUGAAAAACUCAUUCCGCUAGUAAAAAUCCAUUCAACCUAAAAACUUAAGCCCGGUGGACUAGACCCAUUAAUAAACAUCGAAUUUAUUAGUUUCUUGUUAAUUAUUCGAUAUGAAACUAUUAACAAGUGAAAUUCUAAUACUAAAAGACCCUUCGAAUUAGGAUUGGAGUGGGCAAACUGAGUAGGAGAGCACAAAACAAGCAAAUCUCUCCUUUUUCUUUUCAUAAUAUUUUUUUAGUUGAUAUGGUGGCAAGCAUGUACAUGUAUUCACUUCUCUCCAUAUUAUGGAAGUUUUUACAGCUCCAAACUAAUUUUCAACGUUAGAACAUUUGAAAUGUCUUUCCAUACUAUUGAACAUUAUCUUAAAUAGUUGUAAUUUAAUUGAACUGGUAAAAUGGAACAAGUUUUUGUCGAAGGUAUUCUAACUUUACUUUUUCUAUAUAUAAAACGAUAAAUGCCGUAUGAUAGCUGUCAAAAUUUAUGUUUGGAAUAGUUUGAAUAUAAUAAAGUAGAAAAGUACUAAAACAUUACCAAGUUCACUUUCUAAAGAAUUCAAAUAUUGUAGAUUACAUCUAACAGUAUUGAUUAUCAUUUAGAUACUCUGUUAUUCGAAAUCAAGUUAUUAAGCAAACGUCUUGAUGUAAUUAAUUAAUUAAUAAUGCAUAAUCUUUUUUUUUUUGAGAUAAAAGCUAGGAUUAAUAUCUGUUUUAUUUAUAGCGAAUAUAAACUGAGCUACAGUAGUGGGGCAACUGCCCCAAAAAUCAAAAGCUUUUUGAACAAGAGCACGCAAAAAAACACAAAAAAAAAAAAAUAGUUAGUUUAUAAUGCAGAAUCUAGCUAACCUAUGUAAUUUAUAUAUGUGUUAGUUCACCACUCAUGCAGGUCUCUGACAAUUCUAACAGAAGUUAAUGAUGAUUCCCUGAUCAUCAUUUACUUUCCUUCCCCCAAUUGAUGACACCACAACACUCCCAUGAUUUGAUAAGAAAUUUUCCCAUCCCUCCAAAGUGAUAUGUAUCUUUUUUUCUUCAAAAAAAAAAAAAAAAANCCAAAUCAUAUUGGCACUUCACAAAGAUAAGCAACUUUUUUGAUGCCUAGCAUUGAAAAGUAGAUGAAGCCACUAAAAUGUGUCUUUCCUUAGCUUAGUUGACAUCUCCAAAAUAUAUAAAUUUAUAUACCACUUCUUAUCCCUCCAACUUAAUCUUCUCCCCUUUUUAUAAUAGAUGAUGAGAAGGAAAGCAAAGAGAAUUAAUCUACUAAGGUAAAAAUGUGCAGAGACCCCUCGCCUAUCGGCCAUUCUGAAAUAACCCUCUGAAUUUUAAUCGCUUUUUCUAUCGGUGAGCUUUUUCAGUUAGUUAAACUAUCAGUAGUUAAUUGUUUUAGUUUAUUUACUGAAAAAUGAAUCAAAACUAUUACUUUUGAUGUGAACUCAAUAAAAUUUACUCAAGAGCGAAAGAUCAAAAUUUAUAGUUGAAGGGGUCUUCAUGCAUUUUUACCAUCUACAAAUUUAUAGAAUUCGAGCUUGGGACCUCGGGUGCCAACCACCAAGUUUUUUGCCACUUGCGCUAGGGACGGUCUGUCCUAUAUUCGCUUCUAAAGCUCAUUAAGAUUAAAACUUUUUUUUAAUAAAAUUAGAAAAUAAUUUGACCUGGGGCGCCGAGCUAUCUCUUCCUGGCCCAUCUAGCUAUGUUGUGCUUUGCUUGGUCUUGUUUAGCUUUGCUGAUUCUUCUUUACCCAGCUUUGGGUCCUUUCUCAUUUGCCUUAUUUGACUAUGUGUUUCCCUUCCUCAAAUAGGGUAUACUUCUGUUUAAUCAAAAAAAAAGAAAGAAAAGAAAAUAAUUUGACUAAAUUUAAUUGGCUAAUGAAAAUAGAAUAUGCUUUGAAAAAAAUAGGGUUUAAGAGAGAUAUAUCUAACACAAGCAAUGCUAGUAUACCUAGAAAGGAAGUGUCCUUUGUAUAAAGGGCAAUAUUUGAUACUUAUUUUAUUAAUUUUUUUGAGUGAAUUAAGAACUAAGUUUGCUAUCAAAAGGGGUUGUAUUUUCUAUAACUCCUCAUCCGAAAAUUGUAGAAUUUUUUUGAGUGAACAACUCAGUUUGCUAUUUUUUUUAAAAAAAAAAGUUAUUGUAGGAAUAUAAUACAAAGUUGACAAUCGAACUAGCAUUAAUGUAGAAAGUUUUAAAAUAUUCUUUAAACCUCAGGACGGCGUGUAACGUGCAAAGAGGUACUAAUAAUUAAUUUGGCUGCACAGCUAUUGUUCUCAACCGACAAAGCCGUUCGUUGGAACGUGCAAAGAUGUCUCCGUCAAUUGCUUAUAAAAAUAACAUGGCAUAAUAAAGUCAACUUAAAGGCAUAGACUAUCUUCUUCUGAAUCAAGAGCAGCAGAUAGAUCUCUGGCCAUAGCUGAACUCGAAACAGUUUGCAAAGCAAGAAGAAUUUGAUCGAGCACGAUCACCCAAAUGGCGACGCUGGACGCUCUGUUCGGAAACUGCUCAGAGAAGCUCGCUGCUUUAAUCCAGGAUGAGGUGGCGAUGAUUCUCGGAGUGAAGGAAGAGCUCGCGACGCUGCAGAGGAGGAUGAAGCGGAUCGGCGGCGCGCUGAAGAAAGUAGGGCGGGAGAGGACCGAAGAUGCCGCUUGGUUGAAUGAGCUGCAAAGUAUCUUGCAUGAAGCGAACGAUGUCUUUGACGAACUCAGGUAUGAGCUGCCGUCCGCAUCUUCAUCAGUUCUGUCGAUUCUCUGCUGCCUUCCUAUGUUCUCUUUCUUCAACUCCAUUCGAGUUCGUCACAACUUAGCCGAUAGAAUCAGAGCCCUCAACAAUAGAAUCGACGAGGUCGCGAAGGACCAGUGGAUCUUUAAUCUUGAGCCGGUAAAGACGAUGGGUCGAGUGGCGAGCAUGUCGUCCACGCGCGAGACUUGUGAGAUCAUGGAAGCCGAUGUCGUCGGGAGAGAGAUCGAAGAUGCUGCCGACGAAUUGGUCGAGAUGAUAGUCACGAACAACCGAAGAAAUUUUCAAGUGACUGCUGUAGCAGGCAUGGGAGGGAUCGGCAAGACCACGCUCGCUCAGAAGGUGUACAACAACCCGAGAAUUGGAGACCACUUCCAGGUAAGAAUUUGGAUUUGCGUCACCCAGAAAUAUUCAGAUGUUCGACUGCUACAGGAGAUCACUCGAGAAGCAGGAGGUAGUCACGGAAGUGCCGAACGAGUUUCAAAACUGCUCCCUAUUCUCAGCCAGACCCUUGGAGGGAGGAGCAUCUUUCUCGUGCUGGACGAUGUAUGGCGAUCGAACGUAUGGACUGAUUUACUCCAAAACCCGCUACAAAAUGGAGCAGCUAGCGGAUGUGUUCUGGUAACCACGAGAGACCAGGACGUUGCGAUGAGAAUGGGCGCGAAACACAUUCACCGGGUGGGGAAAAUGACUGUUGAUUCAGGCUGGGAGUUGCUUUGCAAGAAAACCUAUCUAGAAGAAGAAGGAGAAGAUGCGCAAAGUUUGAGAAGUGUGGGGGUUCAAAUUGUUAACAAAUGCGGCGGCCUUCCGCUUGCAAUCAAAGUGAUUGCCGGUGUCUUAGCCACCAAGGAGAAGAGCAGAAAAGAGUGGGAGAAAGUUCUCAGAAGCAAUGCUUGGUCUAUGAGUGAGCUUCCUGAGGAAUUCAGGGGUGCUCUCUACUUGAGUUACGAUGAUUUGCCGCCUCAUCUGAAGCAAUGCUUUCUUUCCUUAUGCCUUUACCCUGAGAAUGAUGUACACUUCAUUCAUAAGCUUCGCACGAUGUGGGUGGCAGAGGGGUUUGUCAAGCAAGAAGAUGGUUCAAUAAUGGAAGAGUCAGCCGAGCAAUACCACUCCGAGCUAAUACGUAGGAGUCUGCUACAACCUGAUCCUCUUUCUGUGGAUCAGAGCAAAUGCACAAUACACGAUCUCUUGCGAUCUCUCGGUCAAUAUUUGUCACGAGGUGAAAGCUACUAUGGAGAUUCACAGUCCUUGGAUGCUACUGCAAUCUCAAAGCUUCGCUGCUUGUCAAUUGCUGAGAUCGGAGAGAUUGUUACAAUCCCUGGUCCAGAAACUGAGCGACUACGCUUGAGGACAUUACUACUAUUUAAGAGUCCACCUAGAAUUGAGCACAAUCUUUUCUCUAGAGUUCCAUACCUCCAAGUUUUGAUUCUUAAUGGAAAAGGGAUUGAAUGCGUUCCUGAUAGUGUGGGAAGUCUAAUACACCUCCGAUUGUUAGAUCUUGAUCGGACUAGCAUAUCCAAUCUGCCGGACUCUAUUGGAUUCCUAACAAAUUUGCAGACUUUAAACUUACA